AUUGAACGCUGGCGGCAUGCCUUACACAUGCAAGUCGAACGGUAACGCGGGGCAACCUGGCGACGAGUGGCGAACGGGUGAGUAAUGCAUCGGAACGUGCCUGGUAGUGGGGGAUAACUGCUCGAAAGAGCAGCUAAUACCGCAUACGACCUGAGGGUGAAAGGGGGGGAUCGCAGGACCUCUCGCUAUCAGAGCGGCCGAUGUCGGAUUAGCUAGUUGGUGGGGUAAAGGCCCACCAAGGCGACGAUCCGUAGCUGGUCUGAGAGGACGACCAGCCACACUGGGACUGAGACACGGCCCAGACUCCUACGGGAGGCAGCAGUGGGGAAUUUUGGACAAUGGACGCAAGUCUGAUCCAGCCAUGCCGCGUGCGGGAAGAAGGCCUUCGGGUUGUAAACCGCUUUUGUCAGGGAAGAAAUCUUCUGGACUAAUACUCUGGGAGGAUGACGGUACCUGAAGAAUAAGCACCGGCUAACUACGUGCCAGCCGCCGCCGUAAAAC
rnacentral:rRNA from 1 species